GGGCGGUUAGCUCAGUGGUUAGAGCGCCUGUCUUACACACAGGAAGUCACAGGUUCGAAACCUGUACCGCCCACCA
rnacentral:tRNA from 1 species